UGAGUAACACGUAUCCAACCUGCCGAUGACUCGGGGAUAGCCUUUCGAAAGAAAGAUUAAUACCCGAUGGCAUAGUUCUUCCGCACGGUAGAACUAUUAAAGAAUUUCGGUCAUCGAUGGGGAUGCGUUCCAUUAGGUUGUUGGCGGGGUAACGGCCCACCAAGCCUUCGAUGGAUAGGGGUUCUGAGAGGAAGGUCCCCCACAUUGGAACUGAGACACGGUCCAAACUCCUACGGGAGGCAGCAGUGAGGAAUAUUGGUCAAUGGACGAGAGUCUGAACCAGCCAAGUAGCGUGAAGGAUGACUGCCCUAUGGGUUGUAAACUUCUUUUAUACGGGAAUAAAGUGAGGCACGUGUGCCUUUUUGUAUGUACCGUAUGAAUAAGGAUCGGCUAACUCCGUGCCAGCAGCCGCGGUAAUACGGAGGAUCCGAGCGUUAUCCGGAUUUAUUGGGUUUAAAGGGAGCGUAGGCGGACGCUUAAGUCAGUUGUGAAAGUUUGCGGCUCAACCGUAAAAUUGCAGUUGAUACUGGGUGUCUUGAGUACAGUAGAGGCAGGCAGAAUUCGUGGUGUAGCGGUGAAAUGCUUAGAUAUCACGAAGAACUCCGAUUGCGAAGGCAGCCUGCUGGACUGUAACUGACGCUGAUGCUCGAAAGUGUGGGUAUCAAACAGGAUUAGAUACCCUGGUAGUCCACACAGUAAACGAUGAAUACUCGCUGUUUGCGAUAUACAGUAAGCGGCCAAGCGAAAGCGUUAAGUAUUCCACCUGGGGAGUACGCCGGC
rnacentral:rRNA from 1 species